CCUACGGGAGGCAGCAGUGAGGAAUAUUGGUCAAUGGACGGAAGUCUGAACCAGCCAUGCCGCGUGCAGGAAGACGGCUCUAUGAGUUGUAAACUGCUUUUGUACAAGGGUAAACCUGAAUACGUGUAUUCAGCUGAAAGUACUGUACGAAUAAGGAUCGGCUAACUCCGUGCCAGCAGCCGCGGUAAUACGGAGGAUCCAAGCGUUAUCCGGAUUUAUUGGGUUUAAAGGGUGCGUAGGCGGAUUGAUAAUUUAGAGGGGAAAUGUCCGAGCUUAACUCGGGAACUGCCUCUAAUACUGUUGAUCUAGAGAGUAGAUGCGGUAGGCGGAAUGUAUGGUGUAGCGGUGAAAUGCUUAGAGAUCAUACAGAACACCGAUUGCGAAGGCAGCUUACCAAUCUAUAUCUGACGUUGAGGCACGAAAGCGUGGGGAGCAAACAGGAUUAGAUACCCUUGUAGAC
rnacentral:rRNA from 1 species